rnacentral:sRNA from 1 species
CACUUGCGCGUGAGGGAUAGCGGUGAAAAUCCUUUUGCUUUUUUUCUUUAAAAAAGCAAAAGAUUGCAACCAAUAGCCCGACCCUUG